rnacentral:rRNA from 1 species
CCUACGGGAGGCUGCAGUGAGGAAUAUUGGUCAAUGGGCGGGAGCCUGAACCAGCCAAGUCGCGUGAGGGAAGACGGUCCUAUGGAUUGUAAACCUCUUUAGGCGGGGAGCAAUGCCGGGCACGCGUGCCCGGAUGGAGAGUACCCGCAGAAUAAGCAUCGGCUAACUCCGUGCCAGCAGCCGCGGUAAUACGGAGGAUGCGAGCGUUAUCCGGAUUGAUUGGGUUGAAAGGGUGCGUAGGCGGAUUUUUAAGUCAGCGGUAAAAUGUCCGGGCUCAACCCGGGCCGGCGGUUGAAACUGGGGAUCUUGAGUGGGCGAGAAGUAUGCGGAAUGCGUGGUGUAGCGGUGAAAUGCAUAGAUAUCACGCAGAACUCCGAUUGCGAAGGCAGCAUACCGGCGCCCGACUGACGCUGAGGCACGAAAGCGUGGGGAUCGAACAGGAUUAGAUACCCUGGUAGUC